GUUAAAAGUCUUUUUGCAAUGUUCUUAAACACGAACGUUGCGAAAAGUCUCGCCCCCUUUCUUUUAACAUAUAAACCUAUCUCAAAUCAUUCUCAUUUCACAAUUUGGGUGUUCCUUCCCAAUUCUCGCCCCUGGCUGCGGUAGUGCUUUAUAUCUCUCUCCCCCAAGUUUCUUUUCAACCUCCCUAGCAGACGUGAUCGUAUCGCUUUCUCGCCCUUUGCCAUCUCCGAUUCUCCUCUCCGAAGUCUGCACGUUACUUCUUGAGUAGUUGAGUUAAUCCAUUGCUCUCGUCUACUAUCUGCACUGUGUCAGUCAUCUCCCGUCGUUGUUGGAACUCUACGGUAUCUAACAUUUUAUUUAAGCUGUUGUCUUCCACUUUUAGUGUCUAUAAUGUUACUAUGUCAAUGUUUUCUCCCAGUUUUUUGAAUGUUGAUUUAGGUAUUAUUCAUUCCUGUAAUUAAUUGUGUUUUUACCAAUUUAGGAUUUUUUUGAUUUAGGGAUUUCUAAUUUAGGAAUUUGGGCUUUAUGAUUUAGUGUCUUGGGAUUUGAAAAUUUGAUGAUUUCUAUGGUUUAUCACAUGAUUGAAAUUUUUGAGUGAUUAUUAGUGUUUUAUACUUAAUAUCUUCCGACAUUUUCUUGAUUUAUCUUUUCUUCUACUUAUAUAGUGAGUUCUUUUGAAUGAUUAUUCAAUUUCAUGUGAAUACAGGUUUCUCAGUCUAAUUAUUCUUUACAGAGUUUCAAAUUAAGAUUCUAAAGAAGCACAAAUAUUCAGGUGAACUAUGCUGAAUUCGAUUAUGAUUGAUUUUAUUAUUAUGCCUAAUGUGGAGAAUGAAAUUUUGAUACCCUCUAACCUGAACAUAAUAUUAAGGAUUCUUUCUCUAACCUUAUUGGUGGAGUCCUUAAGGUUAUUACUAUUGAAAGGGAGAAAUCUCUUGCCUCCUCACCGUCAAACCUCCUGCACUGGUACCUUUUUGCUGCUUUCUUUGUGUAGUAUCUUCUAUUUUUUAAUUUCUUUGAUGAAGAUUUGGAAUUUUUAUAUGACAAUCUAACUUAAUCCUACAUUGCUCUUGAAAGGCCAGCCUUUUGGGUUUAUAAACAAUUGGACACCCUCCCCUUAAGACCUUUUUUAAGCGAGUUAUUGUUGCGUUUUAAUUUCGAAAGGUUUAAUUUAAUGAGUUUUCAAGAAGAUCCAAGCAAACGAAUGGGAACUUUAAUAUUUUGUCCUGGUAGAGUGGUUUUAAAAUUAAAUAAAGAGAUGUAAUUUCUUGUACGUCUUUUGCAUUUUGUCUGUAGAAAGAUGGGAAGUUUUCAUAUGUUCACGAAAUUGUUCUAAAAUGGCGAAAAAUGUUUGCUGCAACACCUCUUAGGUGAUCUUAGAAGACAAAAGAAGCCAAAAAAAAAAAAAAAAAGGGACUUCUUUGUGGCUUAUUUUGGCAGUAUCAAUUGUGAUACUGUGGAAGUCAGCCAGCUUCUUAGAAGAAGCAAGGCAUGCACUUGGAGUCCUUGCAAACAAACUUCUAAACAUGUUUGAAUUAAGGCUUAUAUUCAGCAUCCUUAUUCCUGAGCAAAGUGAGUUUGUUGCAAAAUUUAAUGAACUCUAUUUUUUGUUGUAUAGAGAGGCACUUUUCGAGGUCCAUCAAAGGCCAGUCUCUUUCUCUUUUCUUUUUUCUUUCUUGAAGUUAUUGUUUAGUCCCCCAUUCUCUUAAGUCUUUAAUUCACAGUUGCUUAGUUUAAUCAGAACUUAAUGUCAGCACAACCGGCAUUUGACAUAUUAAAUCAAUCAUUAUUGGCUACAGAGGAUGUUCACUGGAUUGCUAGGGAAUCUGUCUUUGAUGUCAUAAUUUAUCAAGAAGAGGGAAACUGAAGCCAAUUAUAAAUUGUUUGAUCUCUUUGAACAAAAUUUAUGGACACUGGAAUGCUAUUAAGUCGCACAGUCAGAAAAAAGGUUUAGCCAUGGCUUAGAAUGUUACUGUUUUGCAUCAUCUUUUAUGCAUAUUAUAGUCGAUACCUUAUUUAUAUAAUUUCUUCCGUGUUCCAAGGUAUGCAUGUUUGGUCCAUCACUGAUAAGAAGGAUUCUCAACUCUUUUACCCCGGACGAGUUACCAGCCACCAUCUGUUGCUUCAGUUGCUGGUAUCCUGGGAGAAAGUGGUAGCCAUUCUAGCCUGACACGGAGUGGUUCAUCACUUCUCAAGAAAUCAUACACGAGUGAUGACGAGCUUGAUGAAUUAGAUUCGCCUAUGACAUCUAUCAUUAUUGACACACAUUCGCCAAAGCCGAGCUGGAUGCCAAAAGAAAAUGGAGGCCGAAAUGCUGUCAGCUAUCAACUUCUCCGUGAAGUAUGGACGAGCAGAGAGUAAACAUUAAUAGGUUUGAGUAUCUUGAAGAAAUUCAAUCAAGUGCAGUCAAUAUAAAAGCAAUGUAAGAAUCUGACUCAAUAUGCAUAAAGAGCUGUACAUUAAUUUAAUUCUAUGUAAUAAUGUUUCGCUUGUUUUGAUUGUGUUCAAUGGAUAAUUUAAGUGUACUAAUGUAUCAAAAGAAAUUUCUUAUUUAAUGUUGUAUCACAUUUCAUGUUUUAGUGUAUUUCAAAAAUUUGUCAUGAAAUUAUUAAUUUUAUGCAAUUCCAA
rnacentral:lncRNA from 1 species